rnacentral:rRNA from 1 species
CGAACGCUGGCGGCAUGCCUAAUACAUGCAAGUCGAACGAGAUCUUCGGAUCUAGUGGCGCACGGGUGCGUAACGCGUGGGAAUCUGCCCUUGGGUUCGGAAUAACUUCUGGAAACGGAAGCUAAUACCGGAUGAUGACGUAAGUCCAAAGAUUUAUCGCCCAAGGAUGAGCCCGCGUAGGAUUAGCUAGUUGGUGAGGUAAAGGCUCACCAAGGCGACGAUCCUUAGCUGGUCUGAGAGGAUGAUCAGCCACACUGGGACUGAGACACGGCCCAGACUCCUACGGGAGGCAGCAGUAGGGAAUAUUGGACAAUGGGCGAAAGCCUGAUCCAGCAAUGCCGCGUGAGUGAUGAAGGCCUUAGGGUUGUAAAGCUCUUUUACCCGGGAUGAUAAUGACAGUACCGGGAGAAUAAGCUCCGGCUAACUCCGUGCCAGCAGCCGCGGUAAUACGGAGGGAGCUAGCGUUGUUCGGAAUUACUGGGCGUAAAGCGCACGUAGGCGGCUAUUCAAGUCAGAGGUGAAAGCCCGGGGCUCAACCCCGGAACUGCCUUUGAAACUAGAUAGCUUGAAUCCAGGAGAGGUGAGUGGAAUUCCGAGUGUAGAGGUGAAAUUCGUAGAUAUUCGGAAGAACACC